rnacentral:rRNA from 1 species
UACGUAGGGUGCAAGCGUUAAUCGGAAUUACUGGGCGUAAAGCGUGCGCAGGCGGUUUUGUAAGUCAGAUGUGAAAUCCCCGGGCUUAACCUGGGAACUGCGUUUGAAACUACAAGGCUAGAGUGUGGCAGAGGGGGGUGGAAUUCCACGUGUAGCAGUGAAAUGCGUAGAGAUGUGGCGGAACACCGAUGGCGAAGGCAGCCCCCUGGGCUGAGAUUGACGCUCAGGCACGAAAGCGUGGGGAGCAAACCGG